CCUACGGGGGGCUGCAGUGGGGAAUAUUGGACAAUGGGCGCAAGCCUGAUCCAGCAAUGCCGCGUGUGUGAAGAAGGCCUGCGGGUUGUAAAGCACUUUGAGUGGGGAAGAAGGCCUGGGGGUUAAUAGCUUCUGGGAUUGACGUUACCCACAGAACAAGCACCGGCUAACUCCGUGCCAGCAGCCGCGGUAAUACGGAGGGUGCGAGCGUUAAUCGGAAUUACUGGGCGUAAAGCGCGCGUAGGCGGGUAAGGCCGGGGCUUAAACUGGGAACUGCGUUUGAUACUGUUUGACUUGAGUGUGGUAGAGGGGUGUGGAAUUUCCGGUGUAGCAGUGAAAUGCGUAGAGAUCGGAAGGAACACCAGUGGCGAAGGCGGCACCCUGGACCGACACUGACGCUGAGGUGCGAAAGCGUGGGGAGCAAACAGGAUUAGAUACCCGUGUAGUC
rnacentral:rRNA from 1 species